rnacentral:rRNA from 1 species
UGGCAGGUACAGCGGGAAGCCAGGCGGCGACGCCGAGCGGAACCCGAAAACCUGUCUCAGUUCGGAUCGGAGUCUGCAACCCGACUCCGUGAAGCUGGAUUCGCUAGUAAUCGCGCAUCAGCCAUGGCGCGGUGAAUACGUUCCCGGGCCUUGUACACACCGCCCGUCAAGCCAUGGAAGCCGGGGGUGCCUGAAGUGUGCAGCCGCAAGGAGCGCCCUAAGGUAAGACCGGUGACUGGGGCUAAGUCGUAACAAGGUACC